AUGAAGGAUCUAGGAGUAGCUGAUGUUAUCUUAAACAUCAAGCUGUUGAGAGAUGAGAAUGGUGGGAUCACACUGCUUCAGUCUCAUUAUGUGGAAAAGGUCUUGAGUCAUUUUGGGUAUAGCGACUGCACGCCUUCUCCAACUCCAUAUGAUGCUAGUGUUGCCACGAGGCCUGACAUCUCUUUUGCUAUGAGCAAGCUGAGUCGGUUUGUGUCAAAACUGGGAGAUGAUCAUUGGCAUGCGCUUGAGAGAGUUAUGCGCUAUUUGAAAGGCACCGCGAGCUAUGGGAUUCACUACACCGGGUAUCCAAGGGUACUGAAGGGUUAUAGUGACUCAAACUGGAUAUCUGAUGCUGAUGAGAUUAAGGCCACAAGUGGUUAUGUUUUUACACUUGGUGGUGGCGCUGUUUCCUGGAAGUCUUGCAAGCAGACCAUCUUAACGAGGUCAACUAUGGAAACAGAACUCACAACAUUAGACACUGCCACUGUUGAAGCAGAGUGGCUUCGUGAACUCUUGAUGGACUUACCUAUGGUUGAAAAACCAAUACCCCCUAUCCUGAUGAACUGUGAUAAUCAAACUGUGAUCGUCAAGAUAAACAGUUCUAAGAAAAAUAUGAAGUCCUCGAGGCAUGUGAAGAGGAGACUAAAAUCUGUCAGAAAAUUGAGGAACUCCGGAGUUACUACAAUGGAUUAUAUCCAAACAUCGAAAAACUUGGCAGAUCCCUUCACAAAGGGUCUAUCACGUAAUGUGAUAGAUAAUGCAUCGACGGAGAUGGGUUUGAGACCCACCGCAUGA
rnacentral:rRNA from 1 species